GGCGUAGUGGCGAAGUUGGUAAACGCGGCAGUCUGCAAAACUGCUAUACGUCGGUUCAACCCCGACCUACGCCU
rnacentral:tRNA from 1 species